GUGGGGAAUAUUGCGCAAUGGGGGAAACCCUGACGCAGCAACGCCGCGUGAUUGAAGAAGGCCUUCGGGUUGUAAAGAUCUUUAAUUGGGGACGAAAUAAAUGACGGUACCCAAAGAAUAAGCUCCGGCUAACUACGUGCCAGCAGCCGCGGUAAUACGUAGGGAGCAAGCGUUAUCCGGAUUUACUGGGUGUAAAGGGCGAGUAGGCGGGCCGCCAAGGUGGGAGUGAAAUCCGGGGGCUUAACCCCCGAACUGCUUUCAAAACUGUUGGUCUUGAGUGAUGGAGAGGCAGGCGGAAUUCCCAGUGUAGCGGUGAAAUGCGUAGAUAUUGGGAGGAACACCAGUGGCGAAGGCGGCCUGCUGGACAUUAACUGACGCUGAGGCGCGAAAGCGUGGGGAGCAAACAGGAUUAGAAACCCGAGUAGUCC
rnacentral:rRNA from 1 species